GAUUUUUCCUCUUUCUCUUUCAGAAACGAGAUCUACCAGCAAGCUGGGCACUUUCCUCCCUGGUGGGAGGGAACUGCAAUGCUGGGACCAGUAGAACUGCACAUGCGCGAGGCCAGGCUGGGGAAGGGUUAACCCUGCCGGAGUUUCCGCUUGCCAAAGGAGAGCGCUGCUGUUGAGGAAUAGAUGCUGCUCUGUCCAAGACUUGGCCUGAAACAGUUGCAAGCCACAAACGGCCAGGGUGGCAUUCUCCCAUCCCUGCAAGGACAGUGCUGACUGCUGUUUCUUUUAUGUGCCUGCUCACGGCGGACAGCGUGCAAAAGUCAAGUGCAGAAAGACACUUGGAUAAAUGCAGAGAGCAGGGCAAGAGCCCUGGUGUUCAAAGCCAGGAGUGCUUGGCACCAGCUUCACUGUGUGAGGUAGUGUUGUCCAGUUAAGCUACUGCAGCUCAUUAAAUACUUCACAUUCACUCUAAGUGCUUCCUGGCUUUGUGC